UGACGCUGAGGUACGAAAGCAUGGGGAGCAAACAGGAUUAGAUACCCUGGUAGUCCAUGCCGUAAACGAUGUCUACUAGCCGUUGGGGCCUUUGAGGCUUUAGUGGCGCAGCUAACGCGAUAAGUAGACCGCCUGGGGAGUACGGUCGCAAGACUAAAACUCAAAUGAAUUGACGGGGGCCCGCACAAGCGGUGGAGCAUGUGGUUUAAUUCGAUGCAACGCGAAGAACCUUACCUGGCCUUGACAUACUAGAAACUUUCCAGAGAUGGAUCGGUGCCUUCGGGAAUCUAGAUACAGGUGCUGCAUGGCUGUCGUCAGCUCGUGUCGUGAGAUGUUGGGUUAAGUCCCGCAACGAGCGCAACCCUUUUCCUUACUUGCCAGCAUUUCGGAUGGGAACUUUAAGGAUACUGCCAGUGACAAACUGGAGGAAGGCGGGGACGACGUCAAGUCAUCAUGGCCCUUACGGCCAGGGCUACACACGUGCUA
rnacentral:rRNA from 1 species